ensembl:lncRNA
CAUCCAUCCAUCCAUCCCUCCUUCCCUCCCUCCAUCGGGGUGUGAUUGUGGCACCUUUAACUGAAUUUACAAUCAUCUCGGCACAAACACACAACACCUCUCCUAUUCAGAAAGUUAUUAGCCCAGAGAAUGUUCUGGAUUAAUUCCGAAACCCGCAUACCGGCACAGAAAUAGGCUUUCUGAAUGGAGAGAAAUAGACUCUCUCUCUCUCUCUCACGCUCACUCUUUUUCUCUCUCACUUCCUUCAUUAUUUUGGCGAUUGAAUAUCUCUGCCUACCAACCAAGAUCUGCCUAUGCCUCUGCGAGAUAAUGAAACAAUUAUGACCGUGCGCCGGCGUAUCCUGGCAUUAACUAAACUGUCAUCUAACUAAAUGCGUUUUAUGUUUGCUGUGGGUUAUUAAGCAUCGCUGUAACAUGGCCAUAAUUUAUGCAUUGGAUAUUUGACAAGUGUGAAGAAUAAACGCGUUUAUUUUCUCCGGAGCCCUCUCCAUGGAUGAACAUUCCUCCUUUUUUGAGGAUCAAAUCCCUCGCUUCCUCCUUCCUGCUCCUUUUAGCAGCAGAUCUCUGGGGCGUCUCGUCCUCCAUUAUUUACUUCUGUCUCGCUCUGUCUCUAAUUUGGUUCUGUUUGUCUCAAACUGUGAUUAGAAGGAGGAGUAAGGGGGGGGGGAGUGUGUCAUGAGGCUACUGAAGCCUUGUUAGUUGUCUGUAUUGGGUCACAGCACUGGAAUUCAGACUAAUCAUGGACAGACUGUGUGAGAGACCGGUCCUCUUAUAUAGUGUUUCAUGGCCAUUUCAUUAAAAAACAAUGUUAGCUGCUGUUAGACAUCAUACACCUCUUAUACCUUCAUUAGCAAAAUUAUUAGUAUAUUAUUAUUAUUACUAUAUUAUUAACUUUCUUUUUAGACACACACUAAAGGUGCACACAAUAUUUCUGCAUAUUAUGUCCAGAACAUGAUUAAAGACUGUGAUAAUAUGCAGUACACGUUCAUUUCUCCGUGGUACUGCAUACUAAUACAGGUGUCUUGUAUUCGACGUAUUAUUACAGUGGUGCGGAACACACAGCUGACGUCACCCUCGUUACACUCGUUAAGAGUGUUUGGUUAAGGCUUUAUUUUGCCCAAAAUUAUUUUUAUUUAUUGGACCACAUGAACGCCAAAGAAGUCCCUUUUAUCUCAUGUUGCUAGAAGUGGCAUUUGGGAUUGGCAGAAUUUUUGGCCCAGGGCUCUUUACCAUUCAGCUGGUCCCAGCAUCUUUUGCUAAGAGUUCCUGCCAAGCGCUAGACAAACCACAACUUAUCCCCUUAAUAAACAAGUAAACAAGUAAGCAUUUGCGUCAGACAUUAGUAUACAAACGGCACCGUUACAAAGCAAAGGGUUUGGCUAUAUCUUAGACUUUUAAAAGCCUACUGCUUUAAUUGGCGCUUCAGAGUCGUGUGGGCAGAGAUCACGUCUGAUUCACUUCCACCAAAUGCCUACACUUGAAGCUGAAACAUCUUUUGGUUUUGACACGAGGUCAAAGGUUAAGGACUCAGGACACCCACAAAUUCCAUUAAGGAGACUCAACUUGUCUAGUGUCAUGCAAGAGUUUGUCUUAAAAGCUUUUGGAGACAUUUCUCUGUGUUCUGUGUGGGGUUUUUUUUUUAAAUCGCAGCUGAAAUCUUUUCUUUUCUUUUUUUUUGCUGCACAAAGUUUCACUUUAAAGCGCCUUUUAAUCAAUGUGUGAUCAUGUAAACUUCACUGAUGAUAUUUUUUCAAACUUUUCACUGCCUUAAAUGAUAUAAUAACGCUUGUGAUGAAGUCGGACUUUUGUAGGAGUUUGCCGAAGUUAGCGGUUUGGAAAGUCGAAUUUCGAACACGUUCAGCAAAUACCUGAAAUGUCCACACCCAAACCAGAGGAAUGAGCGCCACGACACCUGAGCGCCUGAACUGACAGCUAACUACAGAAGCCACCUCACCUCAAUAUCCUGAUUAUAUUGAUGUUGGUGGUCCAUAUCUUUUAUUUCUACCAUUUCUGAAAACCGAGGUGCCCCAGAUGAGCAGAUAUUUCAUUUUUUUAGCUGCCAGAAAGUGAAGUGAAUAGAAUUCCACUCCACAAAGUCUACAGAUAUUUUUAUUUAAAAUGUAUCCAUGACAACUUUAAAGCUAAAAUCAGUGUUUCUUCUUCUGUAGCCCGAGUAGAGCUGGUUAGUCAUAUGUUUGACCGCAUGGGUUAAAAUGAGGAGUCCUGUCCACACACAAUCGUAUACAUAUGUUUGGGGGGGAAAAUAAGUCUUUUAUUCAUGAUAAAGUGCUCAGUGCAUGUGAACAGCUACAGAAAGCAAACCUCAGGACUCGGGUCAGCAAUACGGUAACGAUGCUGAAUAAUUCAUAAACAGAUUUAUAAAAACCUUCAGUUCCUCCGUGUAAUAUUUCUACGUUUUAAUAUUUGUUGAUUUAGGAGGCUCCUGAACGAUACGCUUUCCUUCUUUCUGCUUCUCAUUGGUCACUUCUUCGGAUUCACUCACAUCAGAUACGGUAACUCGCCCGAGCAGUUUUACUCAGAUUGAUCGGACAGUAGACUGAAUGUAUGUCUGUGUGUUGUUUUUCUGAUGACAGGCUAGAGAUGACGAGAUGAUGGGUGAACCUUUCAGACAGUCAGAAUGAGUGUGUGUGUGUGUGUGUGUGUGAACACACACACUUUAACUUGAGUCCCCCUUAAAGUCCUCCUCAUCCAACACCCCUCAACCCUCUCUACCCCCCACAGAAAAAAAAGGAGGUAGAAAAGAAAAAAGAGAGAGCUGGCAUUGAAGAAAGAGACACAGCCUACUCACCCUCUCUCACCCUCUCUCUCUCUCUCUCUCUCUCUUUCAGCCCGCUGCGAGACUGCAGCUUCUCCUCCUCUUUCUCUCGCUUCGCUCCCUUUCUUUUCGGGCCCCUCUCACACGCAGAGCCGACACAAAAACGUGAACAGGACCGUUCGGGUUUUCAUCGUUUGUCUCCUCAGCUAUUUCUCCCCGAGCUUUUGUCCCCCUCCCCUUUGUCCACACCGGCCCGGAGGAGAAGAAGAAGAAGUCGAAUAAGUAGAAGGAAAAAAGUGCACACACACAUCCACACAAAGGGCUUCUCUUCCCUGCGAUCCUCGGUCCCCUUCAGCAUCUAGACGCUAGGACAACAUCAAAGCAACUUAGGGGGAACACUUGAGGGGCCUAUUGUCUCCGGUCUGAUCUGUUUUUCUUGCCGCCGUCCCCCCCUGUCGUUUCGCCUGCACUUGGUACGGUCCAGGCAUUCACGCCAAGUAGCUUUCACACAUGCAGGGGGAGGCUUGUCUCAGGCAAUUGCUGACAAGCUACAAACAAGGCG